rnacentral:rRNA from 1 species
CAUGCAAGUCGAACGAUGAUGCCCAGCUUGCUGGGCGGAUUAGUGGCGAACGGGUGAGUAAUACGUGAGUAACCUGCCCCUGACUCUGGGAUAAGCCUGGGAAACCGGGUCUAAUACUGGAUACGACCUUCCACCGCAUGGUGGGGGGUGGAAAGGGUUUACUGGUUUUGGAUGGGCUCACGGCCUAUCAGCUUGUUGGUGGGGUAAUGGCUCACCAAGGCGACGACGGGUAGCCGGCCUGAGAGGGUGACCGGCCACACUGGGACUGAGACACGGCCCAGACUCCUACGGGAGGCAGCAGUGGGGAA